CCACCUUCACGCUCCGAUUCCCGCUGCAACAGACAUCAUCUUCCAAAAUUAAACCGAUCAAAGUGUCUCUCAUCAUCUCUACUUCAAAACGCCUUGAUCAAUUUUUGAUUCUGUCAUGGAGGAACAAUUCAUACUUAGAGUUCCGCCUAACGUUGCGGAGCAGAUAAAGCGUCUUCUUAACGAAAGCAAUCCUUCUUUGUCGUCCGAGGACAAGUCGCUAGAUUUGCAAUUUACCGAGGAUGGAAGAAGCGGCGAUUUUGUUAUUGGGGAUGCAAAUAUACAAUAAUGCAAGCUGAAACAUUUAAUGUUUUGUUUCUUAAUGUAGUUUGUUUUUGUGAUUUACAAUGAUUUUUUUUUUGUGAUUUACAAGGAUUUUUUUUUUUUGGUUUGUGUAGAGGUUUUCCUGUUUGGUUGAAGUAUGUUCCUGGGAUCAGUUUUAGAACAGAUAAUGGUCCUUUUAAGGCUGCAAUGCAAGGUUUUACUCAGAAGAUUGUUCAGAUGAUGAAGAAUGGAAAGUUGUUUCAAUCUCAAGGUGGACCAAUUAUUCUUUCGCAGAUUGAGAAUGAGUGUGGACCUCAAGGAAGAGUAAUCGGAGCUUCUGGUCAUGCAUACUCAAAUUGGUUUUUACUGUGAUUAUUUCUCUCCCAAUAAACGAUACAAGCCUAAACUCUGGACUGAGUCUUGGACUGGCUGGUAAGUUAUAUAGAUAACAUGUUCAUGUUUAAGU